rfam:Trichoderma virens Gv29-8 TRIVIscaffold_73, whole genome shotgun sequence.
CCAUACAACGUAGAUAAUAGAGAAUUCGGGAUCCCGUCUGCUCCCCCAUAGACAAGCCUCUAACCGGCAGAUUAGUAGUUGAGUGGGUGACCAUCAGCGAACACCGGCUGUUGUAUGUU